rnacentral:rRNA from 1 species
AUUGAACGCUGGCGGCAGGCCUAACACAUGCAAGUCGAACGAGUGGCGGACGGGUGAGUAAUGUCUGGGAAACUGCCUGAUGGAGGGGGAUAACUACUGGAAACGGUAGCUAAUACCGCAUACCAUCGGAUGUGCCCAGAUGGGAUUAGCUAGUAGGUGGGGUAAAGGCUCACCUAGGCGACGAUCCCUAGCUGGUCUGAGAGGAUGACCGGCCAAAUUGGACCUGAGACACGGCCCAAACUCCUACGGGAGGAAGCAGUGGGGAAUAUUGGACAAUGGGCGCAAGCCGGAUGCGGCCAUGCCGCGUGGAUGAAGAGGGCCUUCGGGUUGUAAAGUACUUUCUGCGGGGAGGCGUUACCCGCAGAGGAAGCGCCGGCUAACUCCGUGCCAGCAGCCGCGGUAAUUC